GGAUCCCCUCCCCUGUCUCGGUAUCUCUCAACUUGGGACUUCUCCACCGUGGAUAGCGGCCAAGUUUCUUCUAUGUGUUGGUGAUAUUAGUCAUGUCCUCGAUGCUUGGAAGAUAUAUAGCGAUGUGUGGGGGUAGCAGCCAGAUUUCUGCGAGCUAGGCUUUGGAUGUCCAGGAGUUUCUUACACCCCAGCAUUAGUGUUCGUGGAGUCCAUCGUUGUUGCAGCUGGUAUAUUAUCUCGCAACAACCGAGAUGAACCAUUCUUCAUCGCUUUAGUGGCCUUAAGCAAGAUCCAUGUGCUUUCCAGUGGCUCCAUUCUUUGCUAUAUACAUCUCCUGGUUCUAGGAUUUAGUAGGUUGCUUCUUGUCUCAUCUUGUACCGGUCUCUGGUUCUGUGCUCUUCUGUUGUGUUGAGGUUGUUCUCUGUAGGGCCUUAUCUUCAUGUAUGGUUCCUAUUACGAGCUUAAGGGCAUGUUUGGGAAGCCUCCAGCUUCCCAAAAUCCUUAGAUCCAGCUCCGUCAGCCCAACUCCAGCGUCUGGACUAGAGUAGUAAACGUUCGGGAUAGAUUCACUCUUUCUUUUUCUCGGUCGUCUUCCCCCAUUAUCACGGGAUUUCCAAUUCCUCUCACCACCAGAUAUUCCCUCCCAUCGAGUCAAGGUCGGAGGAGCCCUUCGAGGAGGAGAUCGAGGGAGCGGAGGCCGGAGAAGCUGUUGCAAGAGUCGAUCUUGGAGGAGGACGCCGACAGGCUCGUGGAGGCGCGUGUGAAUCGGGCUGAGCUCGA